AAUACAAGUAGCUGACUUGGCAAGAGAUUGCAAGUCUGUACUGAUCCCAGGCUGGAAGAACAAUGAAGACAUCUAUUCACGCUUUAUUCCUGCUCUUGUGCCUGUGGAUGGACUGGGAGAGCCUUGGAGAGCAGCUGGAGCAGCAGCCUUCCACUCUGAAUGUUGGAGAGGGAGACAGCGCCAUCAUCAACUGCACUUACACAGGCAGUAGUUCAUCAUACUUCCCUUGGUACAAGCAAGAAGCUGGGAAGAGCCCUCACCUUGUGAUAGACAUUUUUGAAAAUGUGGACAGAAAGCAAAACCAGAGACUUACCAUUUUAUUGGAUAAGAAAACCAAAAAAUUAUCCCUGCACAUCACAGCCACACAGCCUGGAGACUCUGCCAUCUACUUCUGUGCAGCAAGCACACACUGGUUCCCAGGCACCUGCAGCCUGUUCUCAAACCAGCUAGGGGGGCUGGAGCUCUAUCCAUAUCCUGUGUCUUAUAGUAAAGCAUUUGUCACAUUGUUUAUUUGCCAUGGAAACUAACAUACAGAUGUUAGGGGAUAAAUGAGAAAGUUAGGCUCAAAGUGAUGAGAGACAGACUGAGACCGAGA